CUUAGGAGGGGCAGCGUUGGCGCAGGAGCGGACUACGACAGCGAAACUGGAGGGCCCGUCGGUUACCUCGCAUGGAAGAUGAUGGUAGUUACCUGGCUCUAUCUCCGUCCUGACCGUUUCUUGAUUCUUAGAAGUUGAAACCGCAUGCUGAAAGCCAGCUUAGAUUUCUAUGGUCCUGGAUUUUGACAGCGGCCAGGUCUGAUCCAUGACAAUGUAUCUGACAAGAUCACCUCCCAACCUGCUGAUGUGCAUGGGCAGCGAGGUCUCCUUCUUUGGUUGCUGGAAUGGUUCAGCUCGGCCAAGGAUUAUGUGAUAGAAACAGGGGACAGCAGAGGAGCGAAAAGGAAUGUCAGGGAUAGAAAUAGGGGUAAUUUUUCUUCGUCUAUCUCAUAGGGACCAAGAAUUAUUCAAAGGUGAUAUAUUUGGGGUGCAUUUUGUUUAACAUUAGCUGAGUUGAUUCUGAAAAGAGCAAACAAAUUCCUUUUGUUGGAGCACUCUGCGUUGUGCAGUCAGUGUCGAGUCUGUGUCUUCUCUCUACGGGAUGUAUUCUCACAAGGACGCGGACAACAUGUAGCUGACUGGUUACUUUACAAAGUGCAAGUUGCAUGGUUUCCUCCGUGGUUUGUCGCUGGAAAUUCAGAGAUUAAGCGACGCCUGCAUACAGCUGGAGGUGUGGUUGUGUAUACUGGAAAGCAAAAAGCCAAUUUUAUUUGAGAAACUACAGUGAUACCUAAACAAACGAUUAAAAGAAGCAAUAUGAAUGCUUGUGUCAGUUUAUGCUAUGAAAAGAAGCCAUAUGAAUGUUCUCGAUUGUUUGUGUAACUUCAUGCUAUGAAAACAAGCCACAUGAAUGUUUGAUGUUUAAAUUUUCUAUUUUAGAAGAAUUCUAAAAUC